rnacentral:rRNA from 1 species
UACGUAGGAGGCAAGCGUUGUCCGGAAUCAUUGGGCGUAAAGAGCGUGUAGGCGGCUCGAUAAGUCUGCUGUGAAAGUCCAGGGCUCAACCCUGGAAGGCCGGUGGAAACUGUCGGGCUAGAGUCCGGGAAGAGGCGAGUGGAAUUCCCGGUGUAGCGGUGAAAUGCGCAGAUAUCAGGAGGAACACCAAUGGCGAAGGCAGCUCGCUGGGGACGGUACUGACGCUGAGACGCGAAAGCGUGGGGAGCAAACAGG